rnacentral:tRNA from 3 species
CGUCCCGUAGCUCAGCUGGAGAGAGCGUCCGUCUGAUACGCGGUAGGUCCCAGGUUCAAGUCCUGGCGGGACGA